GAAGGGAAUCCACGAGAGAUGGCGGAGGACCCACAGAAGCCAGGGAGCAUCUGAACGCAACUGAGGAAUCAGCUGGAGUUCACAUCCCCCCUCAUGUCUGCGUGGCAAGAUGGCAGAGGGAGACCACAGGAGGCCUGGCGUGCAGCCGACAGAGCGCUGCAAACCCAAACGUCACGUCCCCUGACUCCUCUCAGACAUUGAUGAAGUGCCAGGCAACAUGCAGGAGGCAAACUGCUAGAACUGGAGGAGACUGGAUCGAUGAGGAAGAUACGGUGUUCCUGCUCUUGGGAAGCCCACAGACAUUUCCAUAAACAGCUACAAACAACUUGGAACAUCGUAUAAUAAAGGCAUGUGUGUUAUGUACAUUUAUGUACGUAUGUGUGUGUGUAUCCGGAGGAACACAGAAGGGCGCGUGACAAUCACGUCUAGAUGUGAUCCUGUUGUCAGAGGUGCGAGAGGCAGGCACGUUCUAUGGACCUUAGAGACUGAAAGAUG